rnacentral:rRNA from 1 species
UACGUAGGGUGCGCGCGUUAAUCGGAAUUACUGGGCGUAAAGCGCGCGCAGGCGGUUUUGUAAGUCCGGUGUGAAAGCCCCGGGCUCAACCUGGGAACUGCGUUUGAAACUGCAAGGCUAGAGUAUGGGAGAGGGGGGUAGAAUUCCACGUGUAGCAGUGAAAUGCGUAGAUAUGCGGAGGAACACCGAUGGCGAAGGCAAUCCCCUGGGCCUGCACUGACGCUCAUGCACGAAAGCGUGGGGAGCAAACAGG